AGCCUGGUGUGACUGAGCUGCUGGGCACAGAUGACUGCGUGGAUCAGGGCCAGGAGCACGGGCCUGAGGUGGCAAAGGAGGCACAGGAUAAGCUGGGCCCCACCACCUGGGCAGAGGACCAGCCAGCUUCAGAUGUUGAAGACUGAUGCCGGGCACUGCAGCGUUUGCUGCAGAUCGAGUCCCCCGGGACGGAACCAGUAGCCAGGCAGCCAGCUGUGACUGGAUGCUUGGAGCCCUGCAUGAAAUAAAGGAUCAGGACAGCUGUCCAAAGGGAUUUCUUUUCAAGUUAAUAAAAGUAUUUUUACCUGC